rnacentral:lncRNA from 1 species
GGUCCUGGGUGGCCUUGCCUGCUAGCAAAGCACCCGCUGUGCAUCGUUCUCGCCUGUGAGCACCCAGAGGAAGUUCACCGCCACCUUCCCCUUCUACCACCUAUGAGAAAAGGCCACCCUCUCUUGGAUUUGAUCCCAGAGCUCUGGGUCGAAGGCAGGGACUUCCUAUGUAAGUAGAGUAAGUGAACAGCAGUGGGCGGAUGCCUGGGAAGGCGGGCGAAGAGGGUGAGGGGUGUGCUCUCUCCUCACUCUAAACGCGGUGAAGGCUGUGUCCUUUGACGGCGUCCUGAACAUCCGGGCCUGGAGCUUUGGUUAUGACUGCGACAUGUGCUCUGGCUCUCCUGCCUUUGUGCUCCAGGUGACUUGACCUCAGGUG